UGGCAGCGGUGGGCAUGGUGGAGGUUUGGAGCUGGUGAGCGUAUGUAGAGGUGCCGAUGGUGAUAGAGGAGAUAGUGGGGGUUUUGGAGGAGAUAGUGGUUGAAGAUAAUGGGAAGCAUAAAUCUUAGCCAAAAUAGAGGAAAAGGGGGGACGAGUUUAGGAUAAUCUUUUCCAGAUCAACCAUCACGUGCCACAUCAAUAUCCAUUAAGUAUUAUAUAAUAGCAUG
rnacentral:lncRNA from 1 species